AGUGUGGGUUGUCAAAAGACGGAGAGUAUUCGGAACGCAUUGGUGGAAACGGGAGGUUCUCUGAUGGACGUUUUCACAAGAUUUCGUCUCUACUUCUCUCGAUGCAGAUUUCUGGAAUUUUUGCAGUUUCAAUUUCAAUCUCUGCUUUCUUUGUUCGUACGAGUUCAUCUUCGUGAUGCAGUUCGUUAAUAGGUUUUCAUUUUUAGUACUGGCGGCCGUUUAUGACAGAUCUCAUUGUCUGGAUCCAAUUGACCUCAAUUUUGGUGGCAUUACUUGCAAGAAGCCAUUCGAAAUUUCAGCUAAAGGAAACGAACUGAAAGUCAUACUCCGUUAGGGCUGCCCGGUGGAGAACUGGUGAAAAUUUAACAGAGAGCACUCGAUGACUGGUACUUACGAAGGAGCUGAAUUCCUAUGGGCACCAACAAAGUGAGCAAAGAGUUGCAAUAAUGGUCGCAACAGUCAUCUUAUGAGGUAC